GGUUAAGCGACUAAGCGUACACGGUGGAUGCCCUGGCAGUCAGAGGCGAUGAAGGRCGUGCUAAUCUGCGAUAAGCGCCGGUAAGGUGAUAUGAACCGUUAUAACCGGCGAUWYCCGAAUGGGGAAACCCAGUGUGAYUCGUCACACUAUCAUUAACUGAAUCCAUAGGUUAAUGAGGCGAACCGGGGGAACUGAAACAUCUAAGUACCCCGAGGAAAAGAAAUCAACCGAGAUUCCCCCAGUAGCGGCGAGCGAACGGGGAGGAGCCCAGAGCCUGAAUCAGCAUGUGUGUUAGUGGAAGCGUCUGGAAAGGCGCGCGAUACAGGGUGACAGCCCCGUACACAAAARYGCAYRUGCUGUGAGCUCGAUGAGUAGGGCGGGACACGUGGUAUCCUGUCUGAAUAUGGGGGGACCAUCCUCCAAGGCUAAAUACUCCUGACUGACCGAUAGUGAACCAGUACCGUGAGGGAAAGGCGAAAAGAACCCCGGCGAGGGGAGUGAAAAAGAACCUGAAACCGUGUACGUACAAGCAGUGGGAGCACCCUUUGGGGUGUGACUGCGUACCUUUUGUAUAAUGGGUCAGCGACUUAUAUUCUGUAGCAAGGUUAACCGUAUAGGGGAGCCGGAGGGAAACCGAGUCUUAACCGGGCGUUAAGUUGCAGGGUAUAGACCCGAAACCCGGUGAUCUAGCCAUGGGCAGGUUGAAGGUUGGGUAACACUAACUGGAGGACCGAACCGACUAAUGUUGAAAAAUUAGCGGAUGACCUGUGGCUGGGGGUGAAAGGCCAAUCAAACCGGGAGAUAGCUGGUUCUCCCCGAAAGCUAUUUAGGUAGCGCCUCGUGAACUCAUCUCCGGGGGUAGAGCACUGUUUCGGCUAGGGGGCCAUCCCGGCUUACCAACCCGAUGCAAACUGCGAAUACCGGAGAAUGUUAUCACGGGAGACACACGGCGGGUGCUAACGUCCGUCGUGAAGAGGGAAACAACCCAGACCGCCAGCUAAGGUCCCAAAGUCAUGGUUAAGUGGGAAACGAUGUGGGAAGGCCCAGACAGCCAGGAUGUUGGCUUAGAAGCAGCCAUCAUUUAAAGAAAGCGUA
rnacentral:rRNA from 1 species